GUGCUGUGAUGGCAUUUGGCAGAAGCGUACCGAGCGCGCACUAUUUCGGCUUACCUAUCUUCGUGGGUCCGGUUCGAUCCGCGCGGUCAGAAUGUCUCAAUUCGAGUAAUCAAUUGUGCAGUUCUAGCAGCGAGCGGCAGUACCACUGGAGGGAAGCAAUUCAGCACAGUAAGCCGCCCGUGCAGAGGCGAAGCGGAAGACCCAGCUGUUUAAGGAGGACGGAAUAGUGACUGGUAUGUCGACUCCACUCUUUU
rnacentral:SRP_RNA from 21 species